rnacentral:lncRNA from 1 species
AAGCCUUGAGCUGGUUUCAAUGGUGGGAGGGUUAUAACCUAUUGAUAAACACUAGUAUCAAAAGAAGUUUGAAAAGAAAGAAUUUGUAAAGGAAAUGCCCCUAACCAGAAUCAAUUUGAUUCUGCUAGGGUUCUAGUGGAGAAUUUUAUUGAAUUAGGAUGAAGAAUAGAAGAAUUAGGAGUACAAUGGAUCCCUCGAUCCUCCCCUGUUCCUGAUUCCACAAUCAGUGAACUUUCCCUCUCAAAAACUAACUAACUUCUCUUAACAACUUCCUAUUUAUAGAAAUAGGAAUAACUACCUAACUACCCAAGGGUAUAAUAGGUAAGUUUGGUUAUUUUACUUCAACCAAACUCCCCUCUUGCCCCUUUUGUAUACAUUUGUCACCCUUGGCCUGGAUUGAGCCUUAUCAAUACCCUCCCCUAAAAGAAACAACUUGUCCUCAAGUUGGAAAUCUGGAAAUCUUGCUUGAAGGGUGUCUAUAUCCUCCCAAGAACAGUCAUGGUCUGGAAGGUCUUUCCAUUUGACUAAUACCUCCUUCUUCCCUUGAGCUCCUGUCCUCUGGUCCAAGAGGGUCUCUGGUUCUACCACUAAUUCCAAUUCUUCAUUCAACAUUGGAGGUAGGGCCUGAGGUAGUUGUUGAGGCUUUAGGGCCUACUUCAGCAAGGAUAUGUGGAAUACUGGAUGUAUUCUGGCAUGAGGGGGAAAAGCCAACUUAUAAGCAACUGCUCCCACCUUCUCAAUCACUUGGUAGGGACCACAGUAUCUAGGAGCUAGCUUGGCAUAAGGACGCUUGGCCAAAGACUUAAGUUUGUAGGGUUGUAACUUGAGAUAGACCCAAUCUCCCAACUCAAAUCCCACAUUCCUCGUGUGCUUAUCUGCCUGUUGCUUCAUCAGGUUCUGAGCUUUCAACAAAUUUUCCUUCAAUUCUGCCAACACCCCAUCUCUCUGUAUCACCGUCCUGUUUACCUCAUCCACCUUAGAGGGAAUAGCCCCUGCCUUCAGUAGAGUUGGUGCCUCUCUGCCAUAUAAUGCCUUAAAGGGUGUCAUCCCAGCUGAAGCAUUAUAAUUGGAAUUAAACCAGAACUCAGCCCAGGAUAGCCACUCUAACCACUGCUUGGGUUUAGGGCCAGCAAAACACCUAAGGUAGGUCUCCAAGCAUCUAUUAACCACCUCAGUCUGUCCAUCACUUUGAGGAUGAUAGGAAGUACUAAACUUUAGUUGUGUGCCAGCAACUUUGAACACCUCCUUCCAGAACUGGCUAAGGAACACAGAAUCUCUAUCAGAAAUGAUGCUAGAGGGAAACCCAUGGAGCUUAACCACUUCUUUUAGGAACAGGGUAGCAACAUCCUUUGCUGAAUAAGGAUGUCCCAAAGCAAACAUGUGAGCAUACUUGGAUAAUCUGUCAACAACCACAAAAAUAGUAUCCUUGCCUUUGAUCCUGGGUAGCCCCCCUAUGAAGUCCAUAGAAAUAUCUCCCCAUACUUCUUGAGGUAUAGGAAUGGGUUGUAAGAGCCCUGUAGGGGCUAGGGUAGAAUACUUGCUCCUCUGACACACCUCACAUUCCUCUACAAACCUUUUUAUAUCAGCCUUCAUUCCCUCCCAGUAUAAGAAGUUGGCAAUCUUCUUGUAAGUCCUGAGAUGGCCAGAGUGUCCACCCAUGGGAGUAUCAUGACAUUCUGCCAUUAUGAUAGGAAUUCUGUUGGAAUUUUUGGAUAAGACCAACUUGCCUUUAUAAUAGAGGACCCCCUUCCUUAACUCAUAGUCUGGGUGAGAUGUAGUAGAGAUGAUCAUCUCUUGGAUAACCUGCUUCCACUUGGGGUCUUGUUGCAACUCUGUAUUCCAUAGAUCAACCUCCUCACUGCUAAUAAGGGAUAUGGCAGAGUACAUAAGUUUUCUGGAAAGAGCAUCAGCCACAGAAUUCUCACACCCUGGCUUAUAUUGGAUCUCAAAAUCUAGCCCAACCAACUUAGCUGCCCACUUGAAUUGCUCAUCUGAAAACAACCUCUGUUCAGUGAGAAAUUUCAGACUCUUCUGAUCUGUUUUGAUGAUGAAAUGCCUUCCAACUAAGUAGUGCCUCCAUUUCUGAAUUGCCUGGACCAAGGCCAUCAACUUCCUCUCAUACACAGAUUUCUGUUGAGCCCUUAAGGACAGACCCUGACUCCAAAAAGCUAGGGGUCUUCCCUCUUGCAUUAAAACUGCUCCUAAUCCCUUGCUGGAUGCAUCUGUUUCUAUGGUAAAAACUUUCUCAAAGUUAGGAACAGCUAGCAAAGGCAGAGUAGUCAUGGCUUUCUUCAACUCUUCAAAAGCAGCAGUGGCAUCAGAAUUCCAUUUGAAUGAAUCCUUCUUGAGCAACUCAGUUAGUGGCUUAGCAAUCCUACCAUAAUUCUGGACAAACUUCCUAUAGUACCCAGUGAGCCCUAGGAACCCCCUCAAGGCCUUAAUGUUGGUAGGUUGAGGCCAGGUCACCAUAUCCUCUACUUUAGACAAGUCAGCAGAUACCCCCUGAUCAGAGAUGAUGUGGCCUAGGUACUCAAUGCUAGUCUGCCCAAAACUACACUUUUUCUGAUUUGCCUUCAACUGAUGUUCUGCCAGCAAUGUCAACACUUGUUGUAGAUGAUGGUUGUGGGUUUCUAUAUCCAAGCUAUAAACUAAGAUAUCAUCAAAGAAUACCAGGGCAAACUUCCUCAAAUAGGGCCUCAAAAUCUCAUUCAUCAUGGACUGAAAUGUAUAAGGAGCAUUGGUAAGCCCAAAGGGCAUUACCAAGAACUCAUAGUGCCCCUCAUGAGUUCUAAAAGCAGUUUUCUCAACAUCUGCCUCAUUCAUUCUUAUCUGAUGGUACCCUGCCUUGAGAUCUAAUUUGGAAAACAUCCUGGCACCCCCUAACUCAUCAAGCAACUCUUCAAUCAAAGGGAUAGGAAACUUAUUGGGUACAGUAAUCUUGUUAAGUGCCCUAUAGUCAACACAAAACCUCCAACCCCCAUCCUUCUUCUUCACCAAGAUGACAGGGCUAGAGUAUGGGCUUAUACUAGGCCUAAUCACCCCUGCCCCCAUCAUUUCUGCUACCAACCUUUCAAUUUCAGCCUUCUGGUAGUGUGGACACCUAUAAGGUCGAAUAUUAGGAACCUCAGUGCCCUCUUUUAAGUGAAUGGCAUGGUCAUGUCUCCUUGGGGGAGGAAGACCCUGAGGUUCUUGGAAGACCUCCUGAAACAGGCAGAGCACCUGCUGCAAUUCCUUGGGCACCCCACCUGCAUCCUGAACCUGAUGGAGAGUGUCAUAUUGAAUUAGUAGGCCUUCCCCUUCUUCCUUAAGAACCUGCAUGAAGGCCCCCAAUGAUAAUUCUGUCCUGGUUAAAGUAGGAUCCCCUGUUAAGGUGAAAGUAGACCCUGCUAUGUUUAUAUUCAACACCAUCUUCCCAAAAUCAGCACUGACUCUGCCCAAUCCUGCUAACCAUUCAAUGCCUAGCACCAAGUCCACCCCCUUCAACCCAAACAGGUAGAAAUCCUGCACCACCUCAAGCCCUUGUAAACUCAAUUUGAGUUGAGAACACCUUCCUUGACACUUCACUCGGUGGCCAUCCCCCACUUCUACAAAAUAAGCCCUGGUUUCUUGCACCUUCAACCCCAUACUUUCCACCACUUCCUUGGCUAUGAAGUUAUGUGAAGCUCCACAGUCAAUCAUUACCACCACUGACCUUCCUCCUAGAAUCCCUCUGAUCUUCCAAGAUUUGGUAGAUGUGAACCCCCUAUGGAAUACAAUGAUAAUUGUAAAGAGUUGAAGACAUCAAGCUCCUAUCCCAAUUCCAUUUCUCCCUUAGAUUCCUCCCUCAGAUUCCUCCCCUUCACCCAAGAUGAGCAUCCUAAGUUGCUUCUUCUGGCAUAUGUGAUCCCUAGAAAAAGGUUCAUCACACCGAAAACAGAGACCUUUUUCUCUCUUCUCCCUCAUCUCCACACUGGUAAGCCUCCUAUACUCUCCUCUGCUUCUAGAUUGAUCAACUUCCUGAACCCCCCUAGAGCUGCCAACCCCACUACUCCCUGUUGAGGACCCUCCCCUUCUAAUAUUACUCAUAUUAGAUGGUUCUACUGAUACCACUCUGCUAUAAGCAGAGUUCUUGGAAGGGGCACUAGACCUCCCAAACCCCCCACUAGGCCUCCUAUUCACAACUGUAUUUUUCUGUUCAAUGAGUAUGGUUUUUUGUAUCAUCUCAGCUAGGGUGCCCAGUUCAUACAAUUUCACUUCUGCCCUAACCUCUUCCCUCAACCCAUUUAAGAAAAUCCCCUUCACAAUAUCUUGAUUAGUAUCCAGUAAAGCCCCUGCAUAUUUCUCAAAUUCCUCUACAUACAACUCCACACUCCCUUCCUGUUUUAAAGCUAACAACAAUUCGAAAGGAUUUUGUAUCAUUGAAGGUUGGAAUCGCCUUACCACUGCAAUCUUGAAACUGCUCCAAGUAGGUGAUGGGUUACACCGUUCCCACCACUGAAACCAACUAAGAGCUCUCCCAUCUAGGGCCACCAUGGUUGCUUGCAUCCUUUCAGCUUCUGUGAUGGCUCUCAUUGUGAAAUACCUUUCCAAUUUCUGGACCCAUCCAUGCGCAUCAUCACCACUGAAAAUUGGAAUCUCCAGCUUUCUCCAUUUAUCGUGGCACACGGGUAAUUUCUGACUCUCCACCUCUUCAUCGUUCUCACUACUCCUUUCUGGAUUCUAGUUGUCACUCAUAAUCCCCAAUUUCGAAGCUAUAGCUUCGAGUAGAUCCUCUGUCUUCUUCAUGCGUGCCUCGUUGAAUUCCACACGCAUACGUAGCUCAUCUCUGUCUUUUUUCAUUCCCUCCCAAUCCUCGUCUUCUCGUGACAUACUUCUGGUAGAUACCAUUAGCAAUUGCAGCGGAAUCGUUGGUGGUUUCCACUCCCAUCAGGCACCAAAAACGAUGCUCUGAUACCAGUGAUAAACACUGGUAUCAAAAGAAGUUUGAAAAGAAAGAAUUUGUAAAGGAAAUGCCCCUAACCAGAAUCAAAUCAUUCUGCUAGGGUUCUAAUGGAGAAUUUUAUUGAAUUAGAAUGCAGAAUAGAAGAGAAUAGAGCACAAUGGAUCCCACGAUCCUCCUCUGUUACUGAUUCCUCAAUCGGUGACUUUUCCCUCUAAAAAACUAACUAACUUCCUCCAACAACUUUCUAUUUAUAGAAAUAGAGAUAACUACCUAACUACCCAAGGGUAUAAUAGGUAAGUUUGGUUAUUUUACUUCAACCAAACUCCCCUCUUGCCCCUUUUGUAUACAUUUGUCACCCUUGGCUUGGAUUGAGCCUUAUCACCUAUCUCCUACUUGGGAAAGCUUCAAAAUAGAUGUGGUAAGGAGGUUCCAACCAUCUAUGGUAUAGAAUCCUUUUGAAUUACUUUUGUCCUUGAAGCAAGAAGGUAGGUUGAAGCUUAUGUUGAGGAGUUUGAGAAGACAGAGAAGUAUGCAAGGGCUUUAAGGGAGGUUAACCAAAAAUUUGUGAGAGGGGUCUUCCUCAAUGGACUCAAAG